rnacentral:lncRNA from 1 species
AAAAAGCACAGCGAAAGAGAUUGAAUUGCAUGGCACAUUGUGUCCGUUUAGUAUGCAUUUAGCUCUCUCAGUCUAGCUGUUUAUCUAAUUAAACAGGCUACGUUAAGGGUUACAAGUGCAAAGAUAAUAUAUAAUGACCUCAAACUUUCCUCUUCCACGUCCUUUGAGAAGAUCCCUGAGCCUGGCUUCUGCACGGACCAUGCGCAUCGUGGUGUUGGGGCAAAGCGCUGUAGGCAAAACCGGUAAAUAUCUUUUUAUAUUUUGUCACUCUUCGAUGGUAUUUUGACAAAAAGAGCUGGUUGGCACACAUAUGCUAUAAGGGAUAAUUAGUAAAAACAAGCAUCGGGAAGAAUUAGGAACUAGGCAGAUACAAAUUAAAGGUCAAAAUUAAUGAGUUGGGGAAAUAGCUGAAAUGGAUCACUUUUUUAGCUAAUCUAAUUUGGCCUAAAAUUGGAAUUCCUUUCAUAGAUCCCCACAAUAUCCAGUUUAGUGAAUACAAAAACAUCUUUAUUGUUUAAUUUGGUUGUAAUUUAAGUUGUAUUCUACUUUUUGAAUGUGUGCAUCGACAUAUAAAUCCAUCAGAGGUCUGCAAUGGCAUCUCAGUAUUGGUCUAUACUAAAAGAGAUAAACAGAUAGAUUUUAACACAUUGAAUUGUGAUAAAAUAAAUUUGAUUGUGACAUAAUCAACACUAUUCCAUUAAGGUUUCCAUUCAAAUAUGUUUGUCAAUUUGUUCGCAUUAUGUACGCAUCAUGCAUUAAAGCAACAAUACAAGCACCAUAACCACAGCAGCGCACUGUGGUCGUUAUGAUUCCAGGAAUGCCGCGGCGCCCACCCCAAUGUAAGUAGUCAAACCGCUUUAGAAUAAUUUUACUUCUUGCUUGGGGUCUGACAAAUUCCACUGCCUACCUGUAUUACAAGUUAGAGAGAGCUGGAAGCUAUCUGUCUGAGCUUUGCCCGGCACUGCAAGGCUUAGUCCAGGAGAAUAAAGAGCAGACACUCUGCAGACUCCAGGUCUUCUAAACUAUUUGAAAACUAACAGUUUGAGAGCACUGUGGUGGUUUUGGUGUCUGGCAAGCUCAUUGAAGGUCAAGGUAUUAAAGUGAAUUAGUCUGGUGAAUAGGUUGGAGUUUAACCCCUUAAGGACACAACUUCUGGAAUAAAAGGGAAUCAUGACGGAAUAUUUCCAUCAUGUGUCCUUAAGGGGUUAAUACCCAAGUUAAAAAUGUUAUGGGUUUUUGCCUGAAAAUUAGCCCAUCUGGGAUACACAAAGGUCGACACAGUAUUGAGAUGACGGUCCCUUUAACAUUUGUAAUUUAAGCCUUCAAGCUACCUAAGAACUUUCAAACAAUGGUCCAAUUGAUGUGAUUUUGGCUUUGUUGUUAGGUUAAUGUGCUUGUGGGCAUUUACUGAUUGCUAGAUGACAAUAAUGCAGAAAUCUAGUAAAUGUUGCACGUCUACGUUUUAAGGAAUGUCUGGUUUGUUUAACAAAACCUUUUUUCUUGCCAAGAAUGCCGAACAUUUGCUUCUGUGCAAUAUGAAACACUGACUGACAAACAAAAUUACAUUUUACAUUUUUAUACUACACAAAAUCUUUGUCAAUGACUUUCAACAUUGGAACUCUCUAGGCAUUCAUUUCCUUUCCAACCCAACAGCCCCUUGUCAUGCUGGUUCCCUCAACAAUCAUGGGUAAUGUUAUCUUCAGCUGUUGAGAAUUAUGUCUUGAGUUUAGUUCCGAGAGCGCUAGCAGAGGAAGCGCAAACCUCUGUUUCUGCAAGGUAACACUGUAUAAUAUACUGACAUAUCUUCCAGACGUGGGAGGUAUGGAAUUUGGAAAGGUGGAACCAUGCCAGUGAUUUGGUUCACUUUGGUGGUAAUGCCCAAUGGCCAGACACAGAGCGUACUGUAGCCCACAAGCAAUACUCCAAACCUUCUAACCAGGACUGCCAAUGGACACGGCAUUGCUGAUGCACUCUCGUAGGAGCAGAAAUGCCCUAGAAUAGCUUUGCACAGCCACAGGAAUAAUUCAUGACUUACUGGCGGUGAAUUUGUGUGUAUGUGCGAAUCUGUGAGCGCCUGUCAAUCAGUGUAUCUACAUCUAUGUGUCUGUGAAUCUGCAUGUGUUUGUUAAUCUGUGUAUAUACACCUGUGUGUCUGUGAAUCUGUGUGUCUGUGAAUCUGUAUGUGUUUGUUAAUCUGUGUAUAUAGAACAUAUUCCAUAAUUGGAAAAGCUAAGUAUUGUUUUUUGCACAUAAUUGGUUGCACAAAGAAAUAUUUUGAUUGCACUAUUUGCAUAUUCAUAUGUCUAAGUGUGUUGCACAUUGAUGCACUUGAUCACUUUAACUGCACUAUUGCGCAAAUUAUUUUCACUGUUUAUAAAUAUUUUGAGUCUUAAAGGCACAGCGCACUUUAUUUUUACAUUGUCUUACUAUAGGUGAUUGAGCUUUUUUCACUUUAUAUAGUGCGGCUUAUUAGUAUAUAUUGUAGUUUUAAAUUCAGCGCCAUAACAUUACUUGUGUGGUUUAUCACUUUGUAUAUACAAAGUGUCUGUGAAUCUGUGAGUGUUUGUUAAUCUGUGUAUAUACACCUGUGUGUCUGUGAAUCUGUGAGUGUUUGUAAAUCUGUAUGUGAAUCUGUAAAUGUGGAUCUGUGCAUGUCUGUAUGAAUUGUGGGUGUGAAGGGAUACUGAAAUCAGAUGCCCACUUUGAGGCAUGUACAUAAUUGGAAAUGACAAAGUGAAUUUAAAGUGAAUAUGAAAAUUAAGGCCAAAGUAGUCAAACUGUAAGCAUAGCCUACUUGGAGAAUAUUUACAGUUUGAACAUUUUGGCCUUAAAUUUCAAAUUCAGUUUGGAUUUCUGAUACUAAAUGGAAUAAUCCUGUAAAAAGUGGAUUGUUGUAAAUUAGCAAGGGAAUUGCAAAAUCUAGGCUAAAAUAGGAAAACCAGAAAAUAUCCAGUUCAGCUCUUUAUUGCUAAAUUGGCUACCUUGCCAUAGAUAUUGCAAUUUUCUUACCAAUUCGCCUCAGUUCACUCGAAGACACAAUUUGGCUUGCUAGGUUACUCAUAGACAGCAGAUAUUUUGGUUUAAAUAUGAUUGGGGUCCUAGACACCUUUUUGUAUUAUUAUUACUAAAAACAUCUGACCAAAAAUCAGAUGGGAACACAAAAAAAGAGAGAGGUCCAGGUAAGUAUAUCUAACUUUGUCUUUCCCCUGUGCCCCCACGGUGACAUGUCACCUGCCAAAAGCAUGCAAACACCUGAAAAGGGACAGUUUUACUUUAACAAGUCUAAAUUCCUGGAAAAAGAUUCAUCACCACGAGAAUUAAAGGGGAAUUAGUGCACCAGAGCUAACGAAUGAACCCUGAUAAUGGAACGACUGUUCAUUUAAUGCAUGGAUGAAUGGUCUAAUUUGUGCUGUGAAAAUCUAAUAAGGGUUGCUGCAUCGAGAUCCAACUCAUAAAUGGCAAGAGAUGGUUGUGGAUUCAUGAUUUCUUCCUCGUUGCUAGUCUGCUUUUUAUUAGCCCUAAUUUGUAGCCAUGAGCCAGUUUCACAUUUCAUUCAUUUCAAUGAACAAAUCUAUUAAACUACCUGCUGGACUGCAUUUUAUGGCCAUGACAACGUAGAAAGCUUUUUCACUGUGCCUCGUAGAUUUAGGAAUCGAUACAAUUGUUUCUAGAUUAGAAUCCAAAACACCCAACACAUACCAUCCAUUAAAGGACCACUAUAGUGCCAGGAAAACAUACUCGUUUUCCUGGCACUAUAGUGCCCUGAGGGUGCCCCCACCCUCAGGGUCCCCCUCCCGCCCGGCUCUGGAAGGGGGAAAGGGGUAAAAACUUACCUUUUUCCAGCGCUGGGCGGAGAGCUCUCCUCCUCCUCUCCGCCUCCGUUACGCCCCGCCGGCUGAAUGCGCACGCUGCAAGAGCCAGCGCCAAGAUUCAGUAAAGAUAGAAAGCAUUUACAAUGCUUUCCUAUGGACGCUGGCUGCGUUUCUCACUGAUUUUCACAGUGAGAAGCACGCAGCUUCUAGUGGCUGUCAAUGAGACAGCCACUAGAGGAUUAGGGGGAAGGCUUAACCCAUUCAUAAUUAUAGCGGUUUCUCUGAAACUGCUAUAAUUAUGAAAAAAUGGGUUAACCCUAGAAGGACCUGGCACCCAGACCACUUCAUUAAGCUGAAGUGGUCUGGGUGCCUAGAGUGGUCCUUUAAAGAGACUCUGUAUCUGGUAUUAGACAAUAAACGGUACGAAAUUAGACAAUCGUCCUACAUAGUGGAUGAAUUAAAAUAUUAUUGUAACACAUGGGAAAGCUACAUUAAAUGUGCAUAUGCCUUAUGAGUAAGACCUACAACUGACCUAAAUUAAUAUUUAGUCUAAUAAUUAAAUCAUUGAUUAAAGUGUCUAUACCGUCAGUGUUUUAUUGUGUAUUUACUAAUCUUGUCAUGCUGUUUGUGCGAUUGUUUAUUUAUUAUCAUGAUUAUAUUCUUUAAUUGUGAAGGUCUGGAUGGAUGUUACUCCCUUUUCAUUUUCUGUUUUCCCCUUUUUCAUUGAAAACCUUUGUUAUAGUAAUAUUUUGAAAAAAUGUAAAUAAUAAAAAAAAACAUUUAACAAGAAUCUGAAAGCAUUCCGGAUGCAUGGCACAUUGGAGAGUUGUCACAUUGACCAGCUAGUUUUAAUGGGGCUCCAACGUACAAGUUAAAGUGUUCAAAUAUAGAUUUUUCUAAUUGUUCUUCAGUGGGUCUCUUUAAAUAGUUCUUGCUUCGAAUCUGAACAGUUCUUUAUUUGUAAUAUUUGAGCAGACACAUCGGUAAAAGAUACAUUGUUUUAUAGUAGGCUCCAAUUUAAAAUUACAGCCUCAGUCUUCUUUAUAACAUUGUAGCAAGUUCUUAAAUCUGUCCAGGGUCAACAAUUCUCCAUAUUUUUGGAACACAUACGAAUGCUUCAUUCUGUUAAGCAGGGCUUGAAAGUGUUGUGAGGUUCUACAUUGCAUUCGUAUGCUCCUUGCGUGAAAUGAAUUUAAAAAAUCACAGCUGCUACUUUGGGAUAUCAGCUGAGACAAACAGAUUUCACACUGGGCAAUGGUCUCCAUUUAAAGCAGCACUGUCACCCUCCUCUCAAACCCCCCGAAAAAUUUGUAUUUCAUGAUGAUAGAAUCUUUAUGAAAUCCUUAAUUUGACUGUGUUGGAUUUUCACCGAAAUUACACCCCAGUCGAGCGAUAUACAGAGACAAAUCAGGGACUACUUUGUCUCUGUAUUUUCCUCCGCUUGACACUUCUUUUUUUUUUUUUUUUUUAUUCUUUAUUUAUGAAAUGAUCAGACACCACAACAGUAUAUGCAACAUGAUGCAAUAAAGAACAACAUCGCAAUCACCAAAACAAUACGCAUUACUUGUAAAAAACAAACAAUAUUGCAAAGUCUGACUACCAAUCACAAACAGCAUAUCUAACAUAUGAAUGUCGUCUUUACGAGUUUGAUUACUGCGGUAUCCCACCCAUUUUAUUUUAAGUAAGACAAUAAGUUCCCAUCUGAUAGUGAAAUACACAAUGAUAUUUCACGCUAUCCAUCCAUAGCUACCCCUAGAAUGCAGUAAGAAUUUGGCUAGGUCAAUGAACCAAAACUCAGUGUACAGGGAUGACAUUUAUGCGAAGAUAUUUUAAUAAUAGCCUACCAAUAAACACCCCUCGACCCGCCCCUCCAAAUAUAGCUUCAGUGAGCCAUAUGGUAACUGGGCAGUAACCAAAUAGAUGGGAAAAGACAAUAAAAAGAUAAAUAAAGAAAAGAACAGGUUAACCGAAAGAGGAGUACCAAAAGGAUAGAAGAGAAAAAAGAAGAGAGAGUAGGAUUGGGAGUAGGAUUGGGAGGGGGUAUUAUAGUGAUUUUCCCAGAAUAGUAAUGAUGCCGAUACGAUCAGAUAGCUGGAUAGCCACGAGCCGGGAUGUUUUUAGCAAGUACCGCCAUGCCAGUGCGAAAAACUAUAAACCGUGAACAUCUCGUGGGAUCCUGAGGGUCCCGCUUCGGAAGGGGGAGUAAAAGUGUGCUAUGCAUCCUGUCAUCAAUAGAGGUGUUUCGGGGUACGCAGGGAACGAGCCCGUCCCCCACUCCCCUAAUCACCCACCCCACUAGCCACCCACGGGUUCCAAAUCUUUUCCAUUUUCUUCUUAGUGCCCCGGACCCUAGCUGUUAACUCGUCCAUUAUGUAUGUAUCCUUAAUCUUUUGUAUCACCACCUCCAUAGGGGGGGUCUCUCCCUGUAGCCACACUUGGGCCAUGGCCCUUCUGGCAGCCAGGGUCACCUUAUGUAGUAAAUUUUGUUCCGAUCUGGACCAGUUCUCCAGCGAUCUGGCCAGGAGGAAAACCCAGGGGUCUGGUUUGAUCACCCUAUCAAAGAUAUUUCCCAGUAAAUCCGCGACCCGUUUCCAGAAUUUUUGUGCCUCUGGACAGACCCACCACAUAUGUAUAUACGUCCCUUUCUGGCCACAUCCUCUCCAGCAUAAAUCUGUAUUAAUUUUAUUCAUCCGGUAAAGCUUCGCCGGGGUAGCGUACCACCGGAACAUAGUCUUAUAGGCUUGUUCUUGAAAUGUGACACAAAUAGACGAGGUCGCCGCUGCCUCCCAGAUCUCUUGCCACUCAACACCCUCCAGUUCCUCAUUCAGAUCCAUUUCCCAUUGAGACGUAUAAUGAAGCUCCCCCCAUUCAGAUGUGGUCGUACUGAGGUGCGCGUAUAAGUUAGUGAUGAGGCCUUUCGGAAAUUGUUCUUGAAUGCACAUUCUUUCAAAAAACGUGAGUGGAGUCAAGGCGCUAGUUUUAAUCUGUGGGUUAUGGGCGAAGUCCCUUAACUGGAGGUAUCGAAAAAAAUCGGAGGGACGUAGAGUAGCUCUGGACUUCAAAUCAUCGAAGGAUAUAAAAGCACCCCCCUCAUAAAGAUGACAUAGUCGUUGUACCCCUGUGCUCUCUAUGCCCUUAAAGUUUCUGGCUUCCAAUCCCGGAGGGAACGCUCGAUUCCUCAGAUAAGGGGCCAAUGGGGACAGAUGGGGGGAUAAACCGUAUUUGGUCGAUGUUGCGUCCCAGAUUUUCAAAGAGUUAGCGAUAGCUGGGCAAUCGACAUGUAUCAAUGGUCUGUGGUCCCUAGGGACCCACAUAAAGAAUUGAGGGACGUCGGAACCCAGAAGGGUGGCCUCCAGGUCGACCCACCGCCUCUCUUCCGGGGGAGCAUGCCAUAGUGCUAUUUGAGUUAAUUGGGACGCUAAAUAAUAGAAAUAGAGGUUUGGUAGACCUAAGCCCCCCCUCGCUUUUGACCUGUAAAGAACGUUACGCGAAACUCUAUGUUUCCUGUUCUGCCAAAUGAAUUUCCCAAUGGCCUGCUGGAGCGUCCCUAGAUCUGACUUGGACAGCCGGACCGGGAGAGCUUGAAAUAGAAACAGAAUCCUAGGGAGAAUAUUCAUUUUCACAGAGUGAAUCCUACCAAUCCAGGAGAUCGGCUUAUCUAUCCAUUUCUCCAUGUCUCCUAUCAAGGUGCGGAUCAUAGGAACAUAAUUUUGCUGAAAUAAUUGGGAAGGGUCCGCUGUCAGCCGAACCCCCAAAUACUUUAUAUGAUCGUUUGCUAUAUGUAUCCUAUAGGUGUCUCCGAUGUGGGUGAUAUCCGUGUCGCUCAUGCUUAUGGGAAGUGCGCUUGACUUAGUUAAGUUCACCCUAUAUCCGGCCAAUUCGCUAUAGGCCUCCAACACUGUCGCCAAUGCCUCCAUAGAAUUUAUCGGAUCCGUCAGGGUUAGCAAGACAUCGUCAGCAAAGCCAGACACCACAUAUCGCUGCUCCCGAAUCACGAUCCCCUUGAUGUCGGAGCUAUUUCUAAUUGUUUGUAGGAGGGGUUCCAAAGAGAGAGCGAACAAUAGAGGUGACAGCGGGCAGCCCUGCCUAGUCCCAUUCCCCAAAUUGAAAGGUUCCAUCUUCGCGCCCGAAAUCCGGACUCGAGCCCGAACGUCAGUGUACAUUGCUUGUAUCGUAGUUAUAAAGGGUUCAGGGAUACCAAACUGUCGGAGAGUCUCGAAAAGAUAAGGCCACUUUACCCUAUCGAAAGCUUUCUCCGCGUCGAGUGACAAUAUCAACGUCGGAAUCCCCCUAGUUGCCUGCCGCCAGAUAAGAUCAAUGUUGCGUCUAGUAUUUUCAAAUAGCUGCCUGCCAGGCACAAAGCCCACUUGGUCAGGGUGUAUCAAUCGUGUUAACAAGGGGUUCAGUCUGUGUGCCAAUAUUUUGGCAAGGAUUUUGGAGUCAUGGUUUAUCAAAGAAAUCGGGCGAAAGUUUUCGGGGACAGAAUCAUCCUUGCCGGGUUUCGGUAACAGCACAAUAUCCGCUAUUGACAUAUCCCUAUCUGGCGUUCCUCCCUCCAUUAGGUCGUUAAACCACUUUUCCAUGUGGGGUAUAAGUUCCUCUCAAAAUAUCUUAUAAUAGCUACCGUCGAAGCCAUCCGGGCCCGGAGCUUUGUUACCCUUUAAAGCGGAUAUUGCAGCAUCGAUCUCUUCGACCGUAAUCCUUUCUCCAAGGGCAGCUGAGUCUUCUCCCCGCAACAUAGGUAGCUUCAAUUGAGAUAAAAAUGCCUGCGAAUUGUCCGUGUCACUCCUCUGGGUGCUUGUAGCCCCGCUGGAAUGAUUAUAUAAUUUGGUAUAGUAAUCUGUAAAAACCUUAGCAAUAGCGGAAGGGUCUGUGCAAUACUUACCCGUAGCGUCUUUGAUUCUUGUAAUAUGAGAGUGACUCUGUCUCGGGCGAAGAGAUCUGGCCAACAAGGUAUCCAUUUUGUUGGAUUUUUCAUAGUAAGUCCUCUUGGACCAGACUAAAGCUCUAGCAGUCUCGUCGAGGAGCGUUUCGCAGACCGAAGCCCGCAAUUUCCUUACUUCCUGCAAUGUGGUAGGCGACGAGGCCGCCUUGUGUUUUUCUUCUGCUUUCCCCAGGGCUUCCAGGAGAGAUGUUAGUAAUUGUGUCUUACGUUUCUUCUUAUGCGUGGCUUCGCGGAUCAAUAUACCCCGGAUAACCGUCUUGUGUGCGGCCCACACCGUGGCAGGCCGGGGACCAGAGUCCGCAUUCCUUGUAAAGUACUCAGUCAGUUCCUUACGCGUGAUCUCCACCACGGCUGGAUCCUGAAGCAGAGAGGUGUUCAGUCUCCAGGUCCACGGAGAUGCCAUACUUAAUUUAUCCAGAGUCAUCGUGAUGUCAGCAUGGUCCGACCAAGUGAUCGAACCUACUGAAGUUUUCAACACCUUUGGGACCGUGUGGGGAUUCACCAGAAAUAAGUCUAUCCUCGAAUACGUAUCGUGAGGUGCUGAAUAAAAAGUGUAAUCACGGUCGUCUGGAUGAUGAGCUCUCCAGAUAUCGACCAGGCCUGUACGAUGCAUAAAAGUGCGUAGUAUUUUAUCUUGACUACCUCUCCCGUGGGACCGCGGCAACCCGUCGCCAGGACCUCUGUCAACCGCAGGACACGGGGUGGCGUUCAGGUCCCCCCCCACCACUGUCAUUCCGUGUGGCAGAGUGUUCACCAUCUGCGUUAUUCCGUCCCAAAAAGCAACAGAGGGGUCGUUUGGGGCAUAGACAUUGAGGAAAUGCACUGCAUGAGAGUGCAAUCUCCCCGAAACCAGCACGAAACGGCCACCCGGGUCGGCUACCACGUUUUCCACCCUCAGCGGGCAUCUAUGGUGUAUAACGAUAGCAACUCCAUUCCGUUUAUUUAAAGCCCUAGCUUCAUGGACUGUCCUGAAAGUGUGAUCCUUCAGGGCGAAUUUAGCCGAUGCGGAUAGGUGCGUCUCCUGCAAGAAGGCAAUAUCUGGGCUCAUGCGUUUGAGAUCCCUGAACAUGAGGCGGCGUUUACUCGGAGCGUUCAGGCCCUUAACAUUCAAUGAUAAUACUUUUAAGGGCAUAGUUUCCAAAAGGAGGGCAAGCCAAUGCCUCCUAGCAGCCCACUACUGGGCCAGUAAGGAGAUUGCACCACAUAUCUCAUCUCGGUACCAUGGGAGCCCGGCUCCGGACCAUCCAGACAGAGUUCAGCGGCAUAACUGCCCUCUCCUGUUCCCCCUCCCAAGGGAGAUAGUAAAGAUUUAGAACUGGACAACAAACAAGAAAUAGAAAAAAAGAAUAAGUUUAAGACAAAGAAGGACACACAGAACCUGUGUAUCUGGUGCCUGGUCUUACCUAUAGCCAGGCUUAAUUGGGGCACAUGUUCCAGCCCCUCCGGAAUCCCCAAAAGUCUCCAGAGAAGCGGGAGCAUACACCAACAGAGAAAAGCACCCAUAGGGUGCCCACACAGACUAAUUAUGAGACACAAUGAAAUACAAUAAGAUGUCAGAUAGCUGCAUUACCUACAUAUACACAACCAAAAAAUCCCCUCCCCCUAGGCAGAGAUCCAAACAACUUCCCCCCCCCGCGAGGAAGGCCCCCCCAAAAAGAGAGGCGGGGGCAAAACAAUAUGGCAUAAUCUGCGCAGUUAAAGAAUGAGCCCAAAAUCAAAAUCAAAAUCACCCGCUCCCCCGAAGAACACACGCCCCACUGUUCCCUUAACCCACAAUAAAUAACAUAAAAUGUGCCCGGGAGGCAGAAAGAGCCCGAAAGUAUGGAAAAUAUACAUAAAAGAACGCCUUAGCAUAAACAUAGCCCCGUGACCCCAAGACCUCCCCCCCAUAGCUGAACCCACAGGCUCCCGCCGAAUCCCAUCCCCUGUGCGUAAUAUCAAAUGUAAAUACAGUGUGGUACAUAAGCUAAUUGUAAAAGCAGGGUCAACCCUAUCAACCACCCGCCCUACAUAAUAAACACACAUCCCGCCACCCUCCGCCGCCCCAAAACUAUACAGGGAGGAAAGGUAUAACAGAAGACAAGGUUAAGCAAACAUUUCAAGUCAAAAUACGUCCCCCAACCACAAUUCGGGCCGGAGCGGGCGUCCCGAAUAACCGUGAGGGCCCUGCAAUGUUAGGACGGGUGUUGCCCGAAGAGAGGUACAAUCCCUGAGCCCGAUCAACCUCAUUAGACGAUUGCAGAGGGGGAAAAAAAUGAAGAACACAGGAUGGGAACAUUUAGGAACGAAGGGGAAAAAUCCCUAACCCGCCCCAUUCAGGAAGCAACCCAACCCAUGAACUGGCAACCAAACCCAAGCAAUCCCCAUCAAGGGAGCCAAGCCAGCAAAAAAUAAAAAUAAAAAAUAAAAUUAAAGAUAAAAAGGUGGGGGGGGGACAUGGGGACCCAUCUCAACCCACCCAAACAACACAGGCCCUCCCGUAGCACAGCACCAACCGGAGCCGUAGAGAUCCGACCUGCGAGACCGGGAGCAGAAUUCCUCUCCUCACUCACCCGCCUCGGACCAGACACGUGGAAGGGAUCCCAGCACCUCCGCCGUCGCCAUCGGAACCACGAAACCUUCAGGGGCCUGAAUCCCCAGCUCCCGCAGGAACGCCGCUGGAUCACCGUCGGGAAACAAGAUCUUAGUGCGGCCGUCUUGAAAGGCCAUCAGACGGAAAGGGUGACCCCAGGCAUAUUUGAUCGAAUGGUGUUGUAAUACCUCGGUCAUGGGGCGCCACUCUCGCCUUUUCUGUAGUGUGGCCGGGGUCAGAUCCUGGUAGAGGGCCAGCUCCACUCCUUUAUAGGUGAUAGGGCUAUUUCUGCCCCGUUUCAUCAGGGCCUCCUUAGUUUGAAAGCAGAGGAAUUUAUAAUUACAUCUCUCGGCCGCCGAUCAUCUGACCGCUUAGCCCGGAGAGCCCGAUGCGCCCGCUCAAUAUGCCAAAGCUGGUCCGGCAUGUCGGGGAGAAGCGGCCUAAGGAUGCCCGAAACGACCUCAAUCAGAGACCCUUCCCCCUCCUGCUCAGGCAAGCCCCGAAGACGAAUAUUGUUUCGGCGCGAUCUAUUUCCGAGGUCUUCAAUUGCCAGUUCAGCAGAGAUCAGUCGGGUCGUCAGAGUGUUAAUCUGUGCGGCAGCAGCGUUGUGGGCCACAACCGUGGACUCCACCCGCUGUUCCAAUGCAGCCGUCCUCGCCCCUACAGCCUGAAUCUCCGCUUUCACCUCGUCCGAGCUCCUGACUAUUUCAGUAGCGAGGUAGGAGCGGACCUCCGCUAAUUUGGCCAGUAUCUGGCCUGUAUCUGUUUCACGAGUACCUGUAGCCGCACUACUGCCUGGGCUUGAUGGCGAGCGCGGCGUUCCCUGACCUUCCCGUCCGCCAUCUUGGGUGCUGAGACGCACAGCGCGGGAGGCCGCGAACAGCUCCGAGACGGUGGCACCCGAUUCCAUCGCUUUUUUCCCCUGUUUCCUCGGGGCCCUCUUAUCCAUCAUGGGUCUCCUGCCUCUGCAGGUAUUUUUUGCAAUUAUAUCUCGGCUGUAGUUAGCAGUUGGCACCAUGGCUGCAGCAGAGCUUUACAUGGACACGUCCAUCUUGCUCGCCUGCAAACCACGCCCCCCCGCUUGACACUUCUUGACACAAGGCUGAGUGUAAGUGUUACUCCCUGCAGCCGUCACCAGUGAUGGCUGCAGGGAAUUGACUUUGUCUAUGGAGGAUUCCGCGGUCCCACAGGAUCCUCCGCAGACCUCAAUGCUGUACUCUAACUCAUGGGUGAUAGUAUCGCAGUGACGUCGGCUCCUGGUGCUGGAACGCUAUCUGUUGAAGAGGAGCAGAGCAUGAGAGAUGGCGGUGCCCGUGAGGGACAGGUUCAGGUUAGUAAUCUCACCUUUCCAUGUCCCCACCUGGCGAUGUCACCGUUAGGGGUCUUGCAAAUUUGGUAAAGUCCCCAGAAGGUGACAGUGCCUCUUUAAAUCCAAUAUUUAGCCUCCAUUAGCACUUCAGGACUUGCAGUUCACUCCUGCCCUUUAUCUUACACAUUUUGCUUUGACUAGUCACUCUGCCAUGAGCAAGAUGUGUGGCAGGUUGGCUGAAGCCCACCCUCAUGUUGGGCAAAUUUUUAUUUUGAGGCAUCUGUUUUAGGUGAUGAUUGCAUUUGGUUAAUCUGCUUUGCUUUUGAAGAUGACAGUAAGUUUGCUGAAAAUGUUACCUCAUCUCCUGUUUUCAAACAGCACAUGACGUUUAAUGGGUCAUAUCAUUCCUACAGUCAGAGAGGGGGGAGGAGUGAACAAUUUCACUGUUAGCAUUACAUUAGCAUUACAGAGACUGAUAAAGAUUGCUGUAGAAGUUUUAAAUACUUUUUUUUUUUUUAAAUACAUGAUUUAACUGUAUUCACUGUGUGUGGGCAUUAUGCUUAAAUCCAGACAUUAUCUUUCAUUCUUUUGCCAUUUCUAGUAAUCUGCAAUGCUAGUAAUGCCUUCAGGGUCCUUACUAAUACCCAUCAGCCAGGUAUUUUACCAUUUUUAUUUAUCUACUGCAUUUGAGAAUUUUUUUUUGUUUUUUAGUUUUUACGUUAUAUAAAUAUUUCAGACCCUGUGUGAAAUUUUGCAAGAUAAACUGAAAAAUGAAAACUAAACUAAAAAAUGUAAAUUGACAUGAUUUAAAUUUGUAUGUUUGUCUGUAAAGCAAUCUAUACAUAAAAUUGCAGCGUUAUGAUAUGGUCAUGUGCUGGCUAUGCUUUUCUUGCUCACGGCCAGUGCAAGGUAAUUCAACUACACGGGAAAAAAUACAUUUUGCCCCUCACCCCCUUUAAAAAAAAGAAGUGUUUGUCUUGUAAACCCCCUUUAGUAUUUUUUAUCCCCCCUUUACUAUGUCUUACAGAUUAGAAUUAUACUCGGAAGUGAAGAGGUUAAGGCCUUACAGAAUACUAGGUUAAUUCUGCUGAAAACAAUGUGUUUUUCUAUUUUACACAGAUCCUAAAAGAGUAGCCG